rnacentral:lncRNA from 1 species
UUUUAUUCUAGGUUUGAUGAAGAAUGAACAGUCAUGGAGAAAUAUGAUAGGACAAAGAAUAUUAUCUAAUGGUAAUAAAUGGGGCAGGGACUUAACGAGGCCUGUUUGUUUGAAUUUUUCUCUGUGUUCCUCCAUUUUCAGAGAUAAGGAUGCUUUUUCCUUCCCUGUAGGUCUAAGGAGGGCAUCUGUCAGAUGAGGGUCAUAUAACCUACUUUAGGGGAAGGUCAGUGUAUUAGUUGGUUUUCAUGCUGCUGAUAAAGGCAUACCUGGACUGGGCAAUUUAUAAAAGAAAGAGGUUUAAUGGACUUACAGUUCCACGUGGCUGGGGAGGCCUCACAAUCAUGUUGGAAAACAAGGAGGAGCAAGUCACAUCCUACGUGGAUGGUGGCAGGCAAAGAGAGAGAAUGAGAGCCAAGCAAAACGGGCUUCCCCUUAUCAAACCAUCAGAUCUCAUGAGACUCAUUCACUAUCACAAGAACAGUGCAGGAAAGACUCGCCCCCAUAAUUCAAUCACCUCCCACUGGGUUCCUCCCAUGACAUGUGGGAAUUGUGGGAGUUACAAUUCAAGAUGAGAUUUGGGUGGAGACACAGCCAAACCGUCUCAGUCAGAGAGUCCUUCCUAGGUUUUAUAAUCCACUUCAGGGGAGAAGUAUGGGGAAAGAUUUCUUUCUUAGGUAGCAGCAGCAGGAGACCUGGUGGAGGACCUUCAGUCUAGAGAAGACCAGUACCAGGCCAUCCGGUCUAUAGGUAAAGAGCAGAUGCCUCCCACAGAGCUGUGCUCCACAGAAG